rnacentral:lncRNA from 1 species
CAAAGAAUAAAGCUGGCCGUGGUGGUGCACUCAGGAGGCUGAGGCAGGAGGAUGGCCAAGAGUUCCAGGCCAGCCUGGGCUACAUAGUGAGUUCAAGGCCAGCCUGAACUGCAUAGUGAGACCCUGUCUCCAAAAAAAGUGAAUUUUACGGAGGAAACCUCUCCACCCAGGAGUCCAAGCCAGAAACCCGGGUCCUCUCCUCGACUACUCUGCCCCAGGUCCUUUAAUCCCACUUCAGACAGCUUCUGUGUCAGCCUCUGCAC